CCUACGGGUGGCAGCAGUGAGGAAUAUUGGUCAAUGGGCGUAAGCCUGAACCAGCCAAGUCGCGUGAGGGAUGAAGGUUCUAUGGAUCGUAAACCUCUUUUAUAAGGGAAUAAAGUGUGGGACGUGUCCUGUUUUGUAUGUACCUUAUGAAUAAGGAUCGGCUAACUCCGUGCCAGCAGCCGCGGUAAUACGGAGGAUCCGAGCGUUAUCCGGAUUUAUUGGGUUUAAAGGGUGCGUAGGCGGCCUUUUAAGUCAGCGGUGAAAGUCUGUGGCUCAACCAUAGAAUUGCCGUUGAAACUGGGAGGCUUGAGUAUGUUUGAGGCAGGCGGAAUGCGGGGGGUAGCGGUGAAAUGCUUAGAUAUCACGCAGAACCCCGAGUGCGGAGGCAGCCUGCCAAGCCAUGACUGACGCUGAUGCACGAAAGCGUGGGGAUCAAACAGGAUUAGAUACCCCUGUAGUC
rnacentral:rRNA from 1 species